GCGAGGGUGGCGGAAUUGGUAGACGCACUGGAUUUAGGUUCCAGCGGGCUUCCCGUGCGGGUUCGAGUCCCGCCUCUCGCA
rnacentral:tRNA from 1 species